GGGACAAUCCACUAAGUUGCAGGGUUUCUGGUGAGUGUUGAGUUCAGAGGAAUAUUUUGCACAUCCUAUGUAAGAAAACAGGUAUUAUAGACUAUAGAUCUUCAAACAAAUUAGAAAAUAUGUAUUUUUGGUCACAGGUCAUCCAAAGCCUUUGAUCACUUGGUUGAGAGAUGGCCAGCCCCUGAAGAGUGGAGACAAGGUUCUCACGUCUCCUGAUGGCUCUGAAAUGCACAUACAGACAGCCAAUGUCUUCAACAUUGGCCAUUUCACAUGUGUGGCUACUAACUCAAUUGCUGAAAGAAGCAAAAACUAUAUUGUAAUUGUUCUGGGAAAGUCAGGUCCAUGGAAACAUCAUCAAUAAAAAAUGACAAACAGCCUUAUUACAACAGGUUUGUUUCAUGCAAUUUCCAGAAUACAGCUCCUUGGAUUGACUUUCCUAAAUAUGACUUUGUCUGGAAGUGGAAAGUUUUUAUAAAUAGGCUGAGGCUGCCAGGUGUUUUCACCUUGUUGAAGCCAAAAAAGUCAUACAAUUAUGUAUUACUAAAGCAUACACACAAUUGCAUACAUAUUGAUUGAUAUGCUUAUUCUUGGCCCUAUGCAUAGGGAGUCCCACCAUCUCUGGAUCCCUUGAUGAUGAAGCCAACGAAGAUGUCAUCAUCAUUGUUAACAACCCAUUUCUCUCAUUUGCGAAGCUCUGGGUUUCCCUAUUCCGAGUGUGACGGUUGAAGAAUGGAGAACCAUUCAAAGAUUCUGAUAACCUAUGCCUCCUUCCAGAUCUUAAAUGCCCAGAAAGUAGACUCUGUCCAGUACAUGCGUGUGGUUACCAAUGAGGUUGGUGAAGCCAUCAGGAAUUAUGAAGUCAAAGUCUUCAUUCCUCCAGUGAUUAAACAGGAUGAUCCUAAUCAAGAAAGGAAGCAAAGACUAAAGUUAACAGCAGC